rnacentral:lncRNA from 1 species
UCGAUCGAUUGUUGUCGUUGAUUCGGCGAAUUUAUGGUUUGGUAGAUUUUUAUUUUGAUUGGCAACAUUGUUGGUUCGUGUGUCAGACUGACAGCUGGCUGAGCUGAGAGACAGGUUUUGGAAAGUGGGGACGUCGCGAGAGCGCCGGAGACUCCACUGCCGUAACAAUAAUGUGGGCAAAUUAAAAGCCACGAUUUAUCGGCGACAUCAAGAGCCGAUGUCUCGAUUUAAAUAAACAACUUAACCGAGAUGGUGAGUCCUCGCAAUUCUUCGUGCAUAUUUUUGCACCAACUUUGUGAUAACCUCGAGGUCCUUGUUUUCAGCAACAUCACUGAAAUCCCAUCGCCUAAGGUCCAGUGGGUGGGUUUAGGUUUCAUCCGAGCGAUGCCCAACUAUCCCGGAUGAACCUAUGGGGUUUUUGUUUUCUUUAAAGUUUUAACGUUUUAAUUUUCUAACGUUUUGCAAGUUUAAUGUAAGAAGAAGUUUAUGAUUGGAUCAGAUGAUUUCAACAAUGUUUUGUGAAUGAAGAUUCCUACUGUUUUCUUCUGCGUUUGCAAGUUAUUUCAAGCUUCUUUACGGCGGAGCUUGCCUUGGUUGUUUGCACGUCGAAGCUUUUCUUUGUGCGGCGCGCAUGUGGAUGUGCCGCGCCUCUCCUUUUGUCAACACACCGGAUAAGGCCCGGUGAAGGUCUGCGAGGUUGACCGGUGGACGUGCAGCCCCCCAGCUGCGUAACAGUUGGCCCGCUGCGCCGCCAUCGUCCAGCACGCCCUGGCCUGAGCCGGCCUCAACUCAUCACCUGUACGGUAUUCUGGAACGCCUCAGGUAGGCCUGAUAGUCGGAGGUCCUCGAGUAAGUGAGGUGCCUACAGGUGUACGGACAGUGUUUUUAAACAGAGUGAUAUCCCAUGGUUGUAACGGAGUGACAAUUAACCUGACGGACCAAAGCGCGACCUGUCUCCCUCCAUAGGGUUUUUACCUACCUAUGGAUAAUAAAAUCUGUAUAUUUUAAAAUAUACAUUGUACAAAUUCAA